UCCGGUUCUUCACCAGCAGUCUUCUUAGAGUCCCCACCAUUACGUGCUGGCAACUAAGAAUAGGGGUUGCGCUCGUUACGGGACUUAACCCAACAUCUCACAACACGAGCUGACGACAGCCAUGCAGCACCUGUCUCUAGGUUCCUUUCGGCACUCCAACAUCUCUGUUAGAUUCCUAGGAUGUCAAGGGUAGGUAAGGUUCUUCGCGUUGCAUCGAAUUAAACCACAUGCUCCACCGCUUGUGCGGGCCCCCGUCAAUUCCUUUGAGUUUUAACCUUGCGGCCGUACUCCCCAGGCGGAGAACUUAUCGCGUUAGCUUCGAUACUAAUCCGCUCGCGCGAACCAACAUCUAGUUCUCAUCGUUUACAGCGUGGACUAC
rnacentral:misc_RNA from 1 species